UCUGUAAGGAGUGAAGACGUUCGUCCGCAAGGUGCUUCGCUGGUCCAUCUCUCCUUCCUGCGCCCUCGUUCUUCUUCUCCAUCUGUCUCAACCCUCUUGCGACAGAUUUGGAUGUCAUUACGGCCAUAUCUAAGAUGUAGAGGCAAUAGUUAGUAUCGUCUUCUUCACUUAAGUAUCAGAUGAGAUGUCUUCAUCUUAGGUUGAUCCUGCCAUGAAUCUUCUUCUUCUCUCACCCAAAAUAGCUUACCCUAAGGGCAGAAGUGAAAGAAGGUGAGAAAACGAGGAUACUGCAUGACCACAUGUGCCGUUCUUAGUUUUAUAUAAGACCUGAGAUACUCUAUGACCAUACAAUGCACUUCAAUUAUGACAACAUGUUUUAUUUGUAGAUAGAAAUGGGUAAAUACUAUGUCGUGUUUGUGGGUAGGGUGCCAGGAAUAUAUGACAACUGAGAGGAUGCUCGGGAACAGGUUGAAAGAUUCAGCGGGUCCAGACACCAAUUGUUCAGAACGCACGGUGAGGCUGUUGCAGAGUGGACAACAUUUAAGGCUACUCUGCAGGAAGUUAGGUCGGGCAACACCCGUGGUGUACAUAAUAGGGCGUCAUCAAGCAUGACAGAAAGACUGUCGGGAAGAGUUGAAGGUGGUUCUGCUCCCUUUCAGCCACCGCCAGGCACUGAUGAACAUCAAAAUAGAGUGCAGAGAUUUGGCGUCUCAAUAUCAGACAUGAAUCGAAAUACUGAUGACAAAGGGAUUUUGAAUGGCAUAGUCAAAAUUCUAAUUGGAGUCGUGCUUAUAUACGUAGUAGUUGUGUGAUUUUUUUUAAGUUUUUGAUGAUAUGAGAUCAUUAGGUGGGGUGUGGCCGAUAUGAUAAUUUGAAAUGAGUGGAGAAAACUCAGGACCAGUGAGGCGUUAUCUUUUUGGGACUGUAAAUUUUUUUGUUAGACCCUCAAAAC